UAGGGAAUCUUCGGCAAUGGACGGAAGUCUGACCGAGCAACGCCGCGUGAGUGAAGAAGGUUUUCGGAUCGUAAAGCUCUGUUGUUAGAGAAGAACGUUGGUAGGAGUGGAAAAUCUACCAAGUGACGGUAACUAACCAGAAAGGGACGGCUAACUACGUGCCAGCAGCCGCGGUAAUACGUAGGUCCCGAGCCUUGUCCGGAUUUAUUGGGCGUAAAGCGAGCGCAGGUGGUUAUUUAAGUCUGAAGUUAAAGGCGGUGGCUUAACCGUGGUACGCUUUGGAAACUGGAGGACUUGAGUGCAGAAGGGGAGAGUGGAAUUCCAUGUGUAGCGGUGAAAUGCGUAGAUAUAUGGAAGAACACCGGUGGCGAAAGCGGCUCUCUGGUCUGUAACUGACGCUGAGGCACGAAAGCGUGGGGAGCAAACAGG
rnacentral:rRNA from 1 species